rnacentral:rRNA from 1 species
CAGCCCGCCGCGGUAAGACGUAGGGGGCAAGCGUUGUCCGGAAUUACUGGGCGUAAAGGGCGUGUAGGCGGUGCGAUACGUAGCGGUUUUAAGCCUCCGGCUCACCCGGAGGAGGGCGGCUAAACGGUCGCACUGGAGGGCAGGAGAGGUGCGUGGAAUUCCUGGUGGAGCGGUGAAAUGCGUAGAGAUCAGGAAGAACACCAGUGGCGAAAGCGGCGCACUGGCCUGGCCCUGACGCUGAGGCGCGACAGCGUGGGGAGCAAACGGGAUUAGAUACCCCGGUAGUCCACGCCGUAAACGAUGGAUGCUAGGUGUCGUGGGGGUCCAUACUGCGGUGCCGGAGCUAACGCACUAAGUAGAACUUCUAUGA